rnacentral:rRNA from 1 species
CAGUCGCCGCGGUAAUACGGAGGGUGCAAGCGUUAAUCGGAAUUACUGGGCGUAAAGCGCACGCAGGCGGUCUGACAAGUCAGAUGUGAAAUCCCCGGGCUUAACCUGGGAACUGCAUUUGAAACUGUCAGGCUGGAGUCUUGUAGAGGGGGGUGGAAUUCCAGGUGUAGCGGUGAAAUGCGUAGAGAUCUGGAGGAAUACCGGUGGCGAAGGCGGCCCCCUGGACAAAGACUGACGCUCAGGUGCGAAAGCGUGGGGAGCAAACAGGAUUAGAGACCCGUGUAGUCCCUGUCUCUUAUAC